CAUACAGAAGGAAAGGCAAAUGUGUUAACUGGAUUAUUGUUCGUAGGAUCUAUUUUGUCUUAAAUGUUUUGGUGCUAAGUAAGUGUUUUGUGGUCAGUACUUAGAGCCAGUACUUCAUGAGAGACUAAAACUGUGAGGUUUGGGUCUGUCUCAAGUCUGCAGAGGUAGCCAUGGUUGAUACACUGGGGAUGCAACCCAAGAACUUGGUCUGUGUGUAGCAAAAAAAGACAGCUGGAGAUCUGGAGGAACAUUUAACUGGGCACUUGGAACAGCAAAGUGCAAACAGCCACAAGUUUUGUUUCUUCUUCUGUUGUCUAUAAAUAAAUGGCUUUUAGAAAAAUGGGUGGGCUUUUGCAUACGGGUUUAACCUUGGUGUUGUCAUGUGGCAGUUUGUGUUUGUUUUUUUUAAUAUGACAUAGUCAAAAACACAGUAUCAAAGGUAAGAACAAGUUCAUUACAUAGACACCAGUAAUGUAAAUAUCCCAGUUGUGUCAGAAUACUGGUUGGCUCCUGCUUCUCAGCUGAAAGAUAAUACAGCGAAAGAGGUUUUUGUUUUGUUGUCCUUUUCUUCACCAUUUAUUGCUCUGUUGUUUUCACCACUUGCCGUAUAUAAUCGAUUGGUUGUCCCCUGCUGUUACCAUGGAUAUUUAAUACAUUGACAUGGAAAAGAGACACAUUUUUAUGGAAAGGAAAAUGCAACUACAAAACUCCUCUUGUGCCUGUGCCGUAUUUAAUGUGGAUACAGUCAGUAAUGGCUUUCUGCUUCAUGUUCUUAUCUACCAUCUGCACAUAUGGAUAUCCAUCCUGCACCUCCUGUGUUGUGAGGCUGGUGCCUGGGAGAGCAUUAGGUGUGAAGUAGCUCCUUGUGUCCAUUCUCCCUCCCCGGAGCAGGUGAGAAGGGCCAGGUGCAGGUUUGUAGGUCAGUUGCUUUGAAACUCAGAAGCACUUAAUGGAAGAGUGGUAAAAGCUGCUCAUUCCAGUGGUCCAGCAUAAACAAGAAUCCAAGGCUCUCCCUUCAGACUCUUAGGUCUGGGUUUUUUGAGAUCAAAAGAGAAUGCAGUAUUUUGAACAAAAUGUGUAAGGGCCCACCCUUCCUGAAUUGCACUUUUGGUGGUAUGUUCUGUCCUCCAGCUGUAAGACACUACAGAAGGGUUUGGGUUUCUCCCCUUCCUGUCCUCCUUGACUAUAUAUCAUGAGAGAAAUUUAAUAGAUGUUUUUACAGAAGUCUCUGAUCCUACACUGCUCUCAUUGCACCUGAUUGUUCAGUGAGGAGAGCUGUUGAUCAUUAACAGUUUAAACCUAGCACCUCUAAUUCAUCAGAAGUUCAUGUAAUGUAUUACUUACAUUAGAUGUAGGUGCCAAAACUGACCUGUAAACCUAAAAUUAAAUUGGGACUACAAAAUUAAUUUCAUUUAGAUUGCGAAAAUUAGACUAUAAAUGGAAUUCCUGUGGGAACUGUGCAAAGCUUCUUUGACAUUGAUUUAAUGUAAUUCUUUUCUUAAUUGGGUAACUUUAAAUUGUGUAACUGGUACAUAGUUUUAACCAGCACAGAUCUGUAGCAAGUCUUGCAGUAAGAUGAGUACUAACAGGAACAUUCUGUGGUGUUUUUGAAUUUAAGGAUCGCAGUGUAUAGCUUUAUUGCAGAUGACUAGACAGUCAGGGGUCAUGCUCCCUCCCCAAACCUCAUCAGAUAGGUAUUGAUACGAAGCUAUCAUGUCAUUUGUUGAACAUCUCCAUCCAGUCAAUACAUUUUAAUUUAUAAAAUGUGCAUGCACAGGAUAACACCAAUUCAGGGUAAAGACUUAUUUUGUGGUAAAAACUGAAUUCAGAAUCUGAAUUUCAAGUCAUAACCAUUAACACUUAAUUUGGGAAAAUUUUGAAUUAAAGACUUAAUUUUUCAAAUUAGACCCAGGAAUUCAAGGUCUGAGUAGCUCUUCAACAAAAAUUCACAUUCUCUUAAUAGAUGGCAAGUGUGUGUGCUUGUUUUAUGCAUGAAAUUAAAUUGAGGGCUGAAAUUAUUCUGAAUCAUUCAAAGGUUCAUGCUCUAGAUGACAGCAUAUUCUGCUUGGUAUGCUGCUAGUAACAGUAUUAAAUUUUCCUUUUUUUCUUUAGAUUUAGCCAUAUUCUUGUUGGUUUUAAAGAUAACAUGUUCAGAUCUGCUUCUUCAAGUUUUACUCUGCCUGUGAGUAAAUUCAGAGGGCUGCAUUAACACAUGCACUGUCUGUGUAUGAGAGCUUGGGCAUUAGAUUCUCUCUGCAGGGGAACGUUUAGGGCACUUGAGGUAAUUUGACCUAUGAAAACACUGAUUUUGAAUGUUUUACUGAAAAUAACUCUUAAUAUCCUGACACUCUGUAAAAUGUAUGACAGUGCUUUUAAGCAGGGAAGAAUAUGCUGAGUGCUGGGUCAUCUCAGAACUUGCUUGAAGUUUUCUGGGGUCUGUUACUCAGCAAGUAUUGUUUAGCACAGUAUUGUCAUGGUCCUUCUCUUAGUAGGUGCAAAAGCAGUUGUAGUGUUGGUCAGGCUGUGAAGAGCACAGCUGCACACCAGACCUCAAUCAUUUUAGAUUUCCAAAAUAAUCGCUAAAAGGCUGCCUUGCACAACACCUAAUUCAUCUGGGCACUAUUAAACAUCCUUUUGUAUCAGUAGAGUUCUUAAAAUGAAUUCUUCCAGACACAGCAUGUGCUCAUAGCAGGCAGCCCUUGCAUGUUCAUUCUCCCUUCGGCAUGCUUAGGUCUGAUCUUCUCAUCUUGUAGGUUUAAUGUCUUAAUUGUCUAUAUAUGUCCUUCCAAGAAGCCACUGCCCUUUCCUUGAUGAAGUCAAGUUUUUUUUCUUUCUAGGGUUUCAUUCCAAGGAAUGUCAAGGAACAAGCUUUUAAGACCCUACUGUACUGUAUUUGCAAAGAAAAAUAAAAUGUGACAAAUAGGAAUACACUUUAAAAUGGAAAAUCCUACCACCAGCAAAGACUUGAGAGAGCUUUUGGCAGCUAAAAAUAUAUGCACAUUCUUCUCCCAGCUCAUAAGAAAAAAUGGUACGGGAAAUUUGCACAAAUACAGUUCCAAAAAGGAAAAAGAGAAAGAGAAUCCUUCAGUAACAGAAAUUUAGAACAUCCUGAAUCCUCUCAUAUUACAGCUUGACCCAACCCUAUUCAAUAAUGAAAACAGUUUACAUCAAGAGGGGGAGGUAGAUUUGCCUUUCUGGUAAGGUGUAACUUUAUAAUUGAAGGUACUACUAAUAAAAUGUGUGUGUUGCAGAAGCAAAAAUGAGUCACAGCUUGAGACCUUCCCUGGCUUGACUAGAUGGGACUUUAAGCUACAAGAUAAAGCAUUAUAUGCAUUACUUUUGCAAUCUACAAUGAAAGUAGCCAUCUAUUAUUGGAUAUGUUCUGUAUUGCAAUCAUAAUAGUGUUAGCUGCUAGGACCAUAAAAACUGUUAAGGGAUAUGAAAACGCUUAAGCUAUAAAAAGCAUAUUUGUAUGAUUCUGUAGAUGCUGUGAUCAAAACACAAUGUGCUUCAAUAAAAAGAAAAUGCAAUUUAA